CCGCCCCCGAGGCGCAGAAGGCGGGUGCGGGGGCGCGGGCAGUGAGGAGGAGGAGGGCGGUGUCCGGAGCUAGGCGGUUGCUGUGCUCGGCUGAGGGAGACUCAGCCCCUUAGGAAGCCCGCCCAGUCCGAAUCAGUAAAGUACAAGGGACUUGUGGCCUCGGUGGUGUCUUGGAGCGGGGUGUCGCUGAGUAAUGCCUGGGCCUUAGGGAGCUGAUCCCACGGACAGCCACCAAUUCACCGCCUGACCCUGGACAAGUCACUUAUCCUUCCUGUGCCUCGGUACCCCAUCUCUACCCUGGGCAUAAUAACACAGCGCCCUGAGGGUGGCGAUAGGGAGAUGCCAGCUAGAGGGAGUCACUGAAGUGUGUUUAAUUAUUACCACUUAUGACUAGUCAGUGUUUAAGGGAUGUACCUGAGCACAAAGGCCUGGAAACACCCUCCCUGUUAUUAUUUAGUACCUGUACUAUUAGGGCCUGGGGUCCCACUGUACUAAGCACUGGUCUCACAAUGAAAAGAGAAAGGAUCAGUGAGUUUACAGUUUAAGGAUACGCUGAGCCAUGGAUGCACAGAUGAUGACAAGGAAAUGGAGAUGAUCAAGAUAUGUCUCAAGCAGAGCGUGCAUCCAAAUGGUGACCUGCAUUUCCGGUGUUUCAAACUACCUCAUCAGCCCAGACUUCAUGCUGGAAAUUAUCAGUAAAAUUGACAACUCUUGCUAAGAGAGAUCAGCACUAUUCAUUUGUAUGGAGCUACUGGAACAUUAGUAGGACCUUCAGCUCCUGAGAGGGAAACCUUUCCAUUGGGAGGACAGUAGCAACACCCCACAGACAGAGGCAGACAGAGAAGAAUCCUGGAGGAUCUGCUCAUUGCAUGGGGGAAUCUGCUCAUUGCACAGGAGGAACCAGGAUCCGUUUGAAUUCUUCAGGGAAAGGAGGAUUCAGGAAGAGACACUGAUGAAAUGGUUCCUGAAGCAAGAGGCGCGUCUUAGGGAAUGGGAGCCUUCCCUAAUGGAGAGGCUCAUAGAACUGGUGGCCAAACAAGUUGGGAGUCUACCUGCUGUCAUGACAACUACACCUGUUAAUGAACUGCCAUUACUACCACCAUCUGCUCCUCCUCUGUCUGCUGCCAAGGGCACUGCCGAGGUGAAGGAGCCAACACUCCCAACUGACUGGGAGGAGAACAUGGAGCCCGCAGUACUCCCCAGAUCAGACGUUCCGCUGAUGCCCAACACUCUUUGCUGGGGGGGCCUCCCUGAGCUCCCAGGCAGGGAACAGUGAGCCUGAGGAAGUCUCUGAAU